rnacentral:rRNA from 1 species
GAUGAACGCUGGCGGCGUGCUUAACACAUGCAAGUCGAACGAUGAAGCCCAGCUUGCUGGGUGGAUUAGUGGCGAACGGGUGAGUAACACGUGAGUAACCUGCCCUUAACUCUGGGAUAAGCCUGGGAAACUGGGUCUAAUACCGGAUAGGAGCGUCCACCGCAUGGUGGGUGUUGGAAAGAUUUAUCGGUUUUGGAUGGACUCGCGGCCUAUCAGCUUGUUGGUGAGGUAAUGGCUCACCAAGGCGACGACGGGUAGCCGGCCUGAGAGGGUGACCGGCCACACUGGGACUGAGACACGGCCCAGACUCCUACGGGAGGCAGCAGUGGGGAAUAUUGCACAAUGGGCGCAAGCCUGAUGCAGCGACGCCGCGUGAGGGAUGACGGCCUUCGGGUGGUAAACAUCUUUCAGUAGGGAAGAAGCGAAAGUGACGGUACCUGCAGAAGAAGCACCGGCUAACUACGU